rnacentral:lncRNA from 7 species
UGCAGCAGAAAUGAGGAGUUACAGCCUGGUGCCUCCUUCCACCUGCAUACCUCCCUGGAGGACUUCAUGUGAAGUUUGCUAGCUGCCUGCAGUCUCAGCCUUAAGCCUGAAAGAAAAUCACCAUCUACUACCAACCGAACUUCAGACAUUUUGGAAGAUACCACCAAAACUUUACCAGAAAGCAAAAAGAAAAGUGCAAGAGAUCUCACCAACUCUGCCAGCUCCCCACUGGAGCACUGGAGGUCCAGGACCAUGCUCCAUGGCAGAGAGAGGAGAGCACCAAAGAAGAACCAACAGAAGCCAUAAUGAAGCUAUUAGAUAUUGCUGCCAACUUCCCUAGCUGCCAGGGAGGGGAGAAGGUUGUUACCAAACAAUGGUGAUCAUGGUACAGGUGCAUAGUGCAGGAGAGAUGUCUAUGUGCAUGAACCCAUCCCCUGCAGUGAUGCAGGGCAUGAUCUUAAUGCUGGGAAGGGUAGCAGGUAGUUCAGCAGCUAGCCAAAGGAUAUGGAAUCAUAGAAUGUUUUGGGUUGGAAGGGAUCUCUAAGAUCAUCCAGUUCCAACCCUCUGCUAUAGGCAGGGACAUCUCCCUCUAGAGCAGGUUGCUCACAGCUCCAGCCAGCCUGGAACACUUCCAUUCAGCCAACACCAGAUGAAUAAGUUCAAGUAUCAUUUAUGCAUCUCAUUUUGCUUGUUAUACCUGUGAGUUAAUGUCAGAUAUCUCAAAGUAUUUAUACAGAGACUGACAUUUUAGUAGUAGGGGCGACUCACAGCACAUGAAAGUCCUGCUGGCUCACAGCCCUCAGUCCCAAAAUAAUGAUGAAGUCUGUUGGUCAGUGUUCUGUUUGCAGUGUUUGUUCAGGUUUUCAAUUAGAUUCACAGGAUAAGAAAUCUCAGGAGGCUGUAAUUUGAUAGUGUGAUUCAGAGCCAUUAACAGAUUGUAAUAACAGUAAUGUAAUUGAUUAUAUCACUGCCCUUCCUCUUAUGUUUUGUUGCUCUUGCAGCCUGCCCUUGGGUGGACCAGGUGGCCUUUAGACCACACCAGGAGAUGCAGAAUGAGCACUGGGGCAAUGUGCGAAGGUCCUCCAGUGGUGGGAUACACAGCCACUCACUGAGUGAGUGCUGACAGCCACCCAGGAGGAAGUUCUUUAGGUCCCAAAUCUGGCUCCUGACUGUCAGCACUGGGACUGGGUGCUUUGAAAUGAGACUCAAAGGGAAACAGGGUGUAUCUUCAUGUCAUCAGUUUGUACAGGGAAGCCAAUGAUUUGUAGUGGGUACCAUGUGCUGUUGCACUGGAGUUACUCUCUAAUUACACAACACUGGCACUUUCCGAUACUUGCAGUAAUCAUUAAAUCUAUAAUCACCACAUUUCCUACAUGUUUGAGAAUCUCUCCCCUGUUAAUACAAUAUAAUUAAACCAGCCCCUGUUUUAACAGUAUCUCCAUUAAAAAAGAACACCGAAGAGACCAGAAUAGGUGAAGAGAGGUUAAUAAUAGGUCAUGUGGUUAAUCUUCCAGUUACAAGGGCAAACACUAAUUACAGGACUGGGAAGGAAAAGGGCAGCCUGAUUGCAGUGUGAUUAUGGUGACCUUGUUAAGAGUGAUCCAAGCCAUGGUGAGGCCUCAAUAAAUAAAUAAAGAUAAUACAUCCCUUAGCAUGUCCCUGUGGAUGUCAGAUGAAUGCUGAGAGUGGGCCAUGCUAUUCUCCAGCCCCGUCUCACCACAGCGGGAUUGCUGGCUUCUCGCUCUGCUCACUGAGAAAAACAAAAGCACCAGCUCCUGAUAACAGAUAUAUCAUUUUGGCUUCUAAUGGGCCCCACAGUACAGUGUGUUACAAAUUAAAGUGAACUUCAGCACGCUCGUGCAUCAGAGGUGGAGUCGAGCACUGCGACGCACCACGCUGCCAAUGGUGCUCAGGGAAUUCCCAGGCAGCUGAAGAACUGUUACUUACCAUUGAGAUGGAAAA